rnacentral:rRNA from 1 species
UACGGGGGGAGCAAGCGUUGUUCGGAUUUACUGGGCGUAAAGGGUGCGUAGGUGGGCAGGUAAGUCAGUGGUGAAAUCUCCGGGCUUAACCCGGAAACUGCCAUUGAUACUAUCAGUCUUGAAUACCGUGGAGGUAAGCGGAAUAUGUCAUGUAGCGGUGAAAUGCUUAGAUAUGACAUAGAACACCAAUUGCGAAGGCAGCUUACUACCCGAAUAUUGACACUGAGGCACGAAAGCGUGGGGAUCAAACAGG